CUCCUACGGGAGAGCAGCAGUGGGGAAUAUUGCACAAUGGGGGAAACCCUGCAUGCAGCGACGCCGAGUGAGAAGAAGUAUUUCGGUAUGUAAACGCUCUAUCAGCAGGGAAAAUAAAUGACGGUACCUGAACUAAGAAGCACCGGCUAAAUACGUGCCAACAGCCGCGGUAAUACGUAUGGUGCAAGCGUUAUCCGGAUUUACUGGGAGUAAAGGGAACGCGGCGAUGCGGCAAGUCUGAUGUGAAAGACCCGGGGGCUCAACCCCGAUACUGAAUUAGAAACUGU
rnacentral:rRNA from 1 species